rnacentral:rRNA from 1 species
UACCAGCUCUCCGAGUUGUAGGGAUGAUUAUUGGGCUUAAAGCGUCCGUAGCUGGCUUAGCAAGUCUCCUGUUAAAUUCAGCGACCUAAUCGUUGGGCCGCGGGAGAUACUACUAGGCUAGGAGGCGGGAGAGGUCGACGGUACUUUCGGGGUAGGGGUGAAAUCCUAUAAUCCCGGGAGGACCACCAGUGGCGAAGGCUGUCGACUAGAACGCGCUCGACGGUGAGGGACGAAAGCUGGGGGAGCGAACCGGAUUAGAUACCCGGGUAGUCCCAGCUGUAAACUAUGCGGGCUAGGUGUUGGGGUGGCUACGGGCCACUUCAGUGCCGCAGGAAAGCCAUUAAGCCCGCCGCCUGGGGAGUACGGCCGCAAGGCUGAAACUUAAGGAAUUGGCGGGGAGCACCACAAGGCGUUAAGCUUGCGGUUC